CAGGGCCCCAUUCAGGCACAGGGUGUCCAGCCCUUCUGAAGGAGCAUGUGGGGAUCUCCUGCUUUGAGGAUGGUGGUUCUAACAAUCAGAAUGCUGGGAAAGGAGGGUGGGUUGGGAGGAUAGGGGGUAAUAAUAAUAAUAAUGCUUUACAUACAUCGCCCUAUUAUUAGGAUACCCAUUUUAUCGAUGAGGAAGGUGAGGUUUUAGGAGUUUGGAACAGAACUCUCUCGGCGGUUCCUCAAAAGCUCUGUUCUUAAUGACCAUGAAGCUAGAAUUGGGCAGGAGGCCCUCUGGCCACAAGGCGGAGGGCUCCCCAAGACACCAUUUCUUCUGUGGCUUCUCUCCUCUUGCUUCCCUGAGGACUUUGACCUUGACCUACCAAGGAGGAAGACCCUGGACCUAGGAACUCCAUCCCUCUGUUUGAAGCUGCUCAGGAGGCCAUGUGGUGCCAGCCGCUGGCCCUGCCCGGUGUCCCCCCACCCCUGUGCCAUGGCCGGCUGGGGUUCCUGGGGAUGGGAUUUGCUGCCUGUCACAAAUCACAUUGCCAGGGAUUUCCAACCGACCCUGAGCCCUGCCUCUGGGGCCGCUGCUGUCACUGCCACUACCGAGGACCCCGACCCAGGGAUAGGGAUGGGGAAGGGGUGGCAGAGAGGCCCCCACCACCUGCGUCUGGCCUGGGGAGCAGGGCUUAGCUGCUUGUGAGCAGGUCCACAGCAAGUGUGUUCACAGUGGCUAAGUUCCGCCCCCCACGGCCCCGCCUCCUCUGGCCCUGCCACCUCUCCCCUGGGCCUGCCUGUCCCACCACCCGGGCCUCCCUGGGCUCUGCCUCCCGUGCCUACUGAGCUGAAACACAGUUGAUUUGUGCAGACUGGCUCAGUUCAGCAGGAACAGGAGUCGAGCCCCCUUGGAGUCUGUGGCCCUUGCCUUCCCUGGGUGGGCCAGUCGCUGCCUGGGGGAAGAGAUGAGGACCCGGCCCCAGACCUGUGUCUGGAGGAAAUUGGAGAUGGGUGGGGCCUCGGAUGGGUUAACUCAGCUGUCUGCUGCAGGCCCCCUCCUCCAAUUCUGCACUUCAGAACCCCCACACAGUCCCAUCACAGGCUGGGCUGUGCUUGCAGGGAGGAUGGGGAGAUGGGCAGGUGGGUGGCCCUUCCAUGAAAAAGGGAAGCCAACAGUGCCCUGCCUUGCCGACCCUCGGCCCCUCCUCUCCCAAGGCUGGUUGGGGCACUGCUGGCCCGCACCUUCACAGCAGCCAGUUACCCAAGAGGAAGCUGCCUUGGGCCCUCAGACCGUUAAAUGCCAACUCCGGGCUUCCGGAACCAGGCUGCCUGCCCUGACCCUGCCUGGCCCCUUCUCCCUGGGCCCUGCAGCUUCCUAACUUGGAAGAGGAGCCAUGACACCCUUCUGACACAUGGGGCAGGGAAUGAGGUCCCUGUGGGCCCAGAAAGGAGAUCAGCAGGCCUGCUUUGUCCUUGGGUGGUCCCAGCGCAUAGAAGAAUUGAGACUCUGUCCUUGAUCAGAUAGAGUAGGGCUCUUUUGGGGAUGAGACUGGGGAGGCAGAGUGAAGCCCCCCAGGCUGUCAGGGUUGACCCAGUGUACACUUUCCCCAUCGGGGCAGGAGCAGACAACAGCUUGGGGUAGACUCUACGCCACAUGUUGAGCCUUUCUUUUGUCCAAUUAAAUAAAAGCUGCCUGCCUCAUUCUGAA